UACGAAGGGGGCGAGCGUUGUUCGGAGUUACUGGGCGUAAAGGGCGCGUAGGCUGCGCUCCAAGUUAGGCGUGAAAGCCCCGGGCUCAAUCUGGGAAUUGCGCUUAAGACUGGAGUGCUCGAGUGCGGAAGAGGUGAGUGGAAUUCCCAGUGUAGAGGUGAAAUUCGUAGAUAUUGGGAAGAACACCAGUGGCGAAGGCGGCUCACUGGUCCGCAACUGACGCUGAGGCGCGAAAGCGUGGGGAGCAAACAGG
rnacentral:rRNA from 1 species